UCCUUGGAGAUGUGUGGCCGUACAGUCACACUGUAAUUUGGAUCUCGAAUCCGUUUCAGUGUAUAUACUUGGCAAACAUUGAGGGUUGUGAUGUAUGAAUCUCGCAACUUGAGUCUUUGUUUCAAGUAUGGGUCUCCUUCAAGAAGAUCCUUGUGUCCAGCAAUCUGAAAUAUAAAAAUAAAUCUAUAAAUGAAUAAAAAUUGGGAGAAACAAAAUUACUAAUGCUUAUUUCAUACCAUCGAACUUACCUGGAGAAGAAGGCCCUUGGUUUCCUCAUAAUUCUUCCUUAACUUCUCACCAAAUGACCAUAGCUCCUGAGAGACAAGGAGUUUGUCAUACAAAGCAGCAAUC
rnacentral:lncRNA from 1 species